rnacentral:lncRNA from 1 species
CAAAAAUCCAAAAUGCUCUGUGGUGAAAUGAGGUUGGGAAGCACCACACGACACAUUGCUCCUUAGAGAUGUCAUAAUGCACCUUAGCUCUUUAAAGGCUCUGAAAAGUCCUGCUGCAAAGAAAUGUCUGCUCCGGCAAUGGAGUGCAGUAACGAGCCGUUCAAACUUGUGUCAAGGUGUGGAUCACAGAGGCAGGGGGUCAAGAGGGAAGAGAAAUACGGUGACAAAUGGAAGGCUCUCCCUUCUUAGAGACACAGCCACCAGCAGAGACAAUCAGGGGGUGAGAGGCCCGGAAUCCUCUUUGUGAUGAAAUCCCCAGGGUGGUCCUCGGGUCCCACAGUGGGUGCUCAGGGAUGUAGGCUGUAGGGCUCCAGGCUCUGGGUUGAGGAAAAUUGGAAUUAAAUUUCAGUGAAGUAACCCUGAGCAAGUCAGCCUCUGUCCAUCAGGUUCUUUUGUUUGUAAAAUGGAGGUAGCCAUGAGGAUUGUUCUGAGAAUGAGUUAAAUGGAAAGAUAUGCUCAAGAUGCCAGCGCAAAGCCAGAGACUCAAGGUUCGCAGCUGGUUGGAGCAAACCUCAAUGUCAGUGUGAAUCUUCCACCAUGGGAUUCAAGCUGCCUUGGCUCUAAAGUGGGAGACUGAGGCUCAGAGAUACGCAGGUAGUGAAUGGAGCCACC